rfam:Salmo salar isolate Sally breed double haploid chromosome ssa17, whole genome shotgun sequence.
UGCAUUCACUACUGUAAGUCACUCUGGAUAAGAGCGUCUGCUACAUGACUAAAA